rnacentral:rRNA from 1 species
ACCUUACCUACUCUUGACAUCCAGAGAACUUAGCAGAGAUGCUUUGGUGCCUUCGGGAACUCUGAGACAGGUGCUGCAUGGCUGUCGUCAGCUCGUGUUGUGAAAUGUUGGGUUAAGUCCCGCAACGAGCGCAACCCUUAUCCUUUGUUGCCAGCGAUUCGGUCGGGAACUCAAAGGAGACUGCCGGUGAUAAACCGGAGGAAGGUGGGGAUGACGUCAAGUCAUCAUGGCCCUUACGAGUAGGGCUACACACGUGCUACAAUGGCGUAUACAAAGAGAAGCGACCUCGCGAGAGCAAGCGGAACUCAUAAAGUACGUCGUAGUCCGGAUUGGAGUCUGCAACUCGACUCCAUGAAGUCGGAAUCGCUAGUAAUCGUAGAUCAGAAUGCUACGGUGAAUA